rnacentral:rRNA from 1 species
UACGUAGGGCGCAAGCGUUAUCCGGAAUUAUUGGGCGUAAAGAGCUCGUAGGCGGUUUGUCGCGUCUGCCGUGAAAGUCCGGGGCUCAACUCCGGAUCUGCGGUGGGUACGGGCAGGCUAGAGUGAUGUAGGGGAGACUGGAAUUCCUGGUGUAGCGGUGAAAUGCGCAGAUAUCCGGAAGAACACCGAUGGCGAAGGCAACCACCUGGGCCUGCACUGACGCUGAGACGCGAAAGCGUGGGGAGCAAACAGG